rnacentral:rRNA from 1 species
UACGGAGGGUGCGAGCGUUGUCCGGAAUCAUUGGGCGUAAAGGGCGCGUAGGUGGCCCGGUCAGUUCGUGGUGAAAGCGCGGGGCUCAACCCUGCGUCGGCCAUGAAUACUGCCGCGGCUGGAGCACUGUAGAGGCAGGCGGAAUUCCGGGUGUAGCGGUGGAAUGCGUAGAGAUCCGGAAGAACACCGGUGGCGAAGGCGGCCUGCUGGGCAGUUGCUGACGCUGAGGAGCGAAAGCGUGGGGAGCGAACAGG